GAUUAGCCAUGCAGUCUCAGUACAAGCCGAACUAAGGUGAAACCGCAAAAGGCUCAUUAAAUCAGUUAUGGUUCCUUGGAUCGUACAAUCCAUUACUUGGAUAACUGUGGUAAUUCUAGAGCUAAUACAUGCAAACAGAGUCCCGACCAGAAAUGGAAGGGACGCUUUUAUUAGAUCAAAACCAAUCGACGUCCGUCUUCCUCCGGGUCGACGGCGCCGUACUCCUUGGUGACUCUGAAUAACUUUUGGCAGAUCGCACGGUCUUCGAACCGGCGACGCAUCCUUCAAAUGUCUGCCUUAUCAACUGUCGAUGGUAGGUUCUGCGCCUACCAUGGUUGUAACGGGUAACGGGGAAUCAGGGUUCGAUUCCGGAGAGGGAGCCUGAGAAACGGCUACCACAUCCAAGGAAGGCAGCAGGCGCGCAAAUUACCCACUCCCGGCACGGGGAGGUAGUGACGAAAAAUAACGAUACGGGACUCAUCCGAGGCCCCGUAAUCGGAAUGAGUAUACUCUAAAUCCUUAUACGAGUAUCAAUUGGAGGGCAAGUCUGGUGCCAGCAGCCGCGGUAAUUCCAGCUCCAAUAGCGUAUAUUAAAGUUGUUGCGGUUAAAAAGCUCGUAGUUGGAUCUGUGUCCCGCACCGUCGGUUCACCGCCUGUCGGUGUUCAACUGGUGUGUAUGCGGGACGUCCUGCCGGUGGCGGUCCGGUUCCCCGUGGGUACGUAGGGGCGUCCUUGCUUACGCUUGCGUCGUCCCCGAAGGCCUGCGCGGUGUAUCCGGCCGCCUUUUCAAUCCCGUCGCGGUGCUCUUCACUGAGUGUCGAGGCGGGCCGGCACGUUUACUUUGAACAAAUUAGAGUGCUUUAAGCAGGCCCUGUCCCGCCUGUAUGUUGUGUGCAUGGAAUAAUGGAAUAGGACCUCGGUUCUAUUUUGUUGGUUUUCGGAAUCUGAGGUAAUGAUCAAUGGGGACAGGCGGGGGCAUUCGUAUUGCGACGUUAGAGGUGAAAUUUCUUUGGAUCGUCGCAAGACGGACCGAAGCGAAAGCAUUUGCCCAAGUAUGUUCUCGUCGAUCAAGA
rnacentral:rRNA from 1 species